rnacentral:rRNA from 1 species
CAACCGGGAUUGCCUCAGUAACGGCGAGUGAAGCGGCAAGAGCUCAAAUUUGAAAGCUGGCUCCUUCGGAGUCCGCAUUGUAAUUUGCAGAGGAUGCUUUGGGUGCGGCCCCCGUCUAAGUGCCCUGGAACGGGCCGUCAGAGAGGGUGAGAAUCCCGUCUUGGGCGGGGUGUCCGUGCCCGUGUAAAGCUCCUUCGACGAGUCGAGUUGUUUGGGAAUGCAGCUCUAAAUGGGUGGUAAAUUUCAUCUAAAGCUAAAUACUGGCCGGAGACCGAUAGCGCACAAGUAGAGUGAUCGAAAGAUGAAAAGCACUUUGAAAAGAGAGUUAAACAGCACGUGAAAUUGUUGAAAGGGAAGCGCUUGCGACCAGACUCGCCCGCGGGGUUCAGCCGGCAUUCGUGCCGGUGUACUUCCCCGUGGGCGGGCCAGCGUCGGUUUGGGCGGCCGGUCAAAGGCCCCUGGAAUGUAGUGCCCUCCGGGGCACCUUAUAGCCAGGGGUGCAAUGCGGCCAGCCUGGACCGAGGAACGCGCUUCGGCACGGACGCUGGCAUAAUGGUCGUAAACGACCCGUCUUGAAACACGGACCA